AGCAGCCGCGGUAAUUCCAGCUCCAAUAGCGUAUAUUAAAGUUGUUGCAGUUAAAAAGCUCGUAGUUGAAUUUCGGGAUCAAAGGAUCGGUUAUGCCUUGGUAUGUACUGGUUUUAUUGGUUCUCACCUUCUAAAGAACCAUAAUGUCGUUCAUUUGAUGUUAUGGGGAAUUAGGACUGUUACCUUGAAAAAUUAGAGUGUUUAAAGCAGGCUUACGCUUGAAUACAUUAGCAUGGAAUAAUGAAAUAGGACAUCAGAUUCUAUUUUGUUGGUUUCUAGGAUCGAUGUAAUGAUUAAUAGGGAUAGUUGGGGGCAUUAGUAUUCAAUUGUCAGAGGUGAAAUUCUUGGAUUUAUUGAAGUACUAACUACUGCGAAAGCAUUUGCCAAGGGUGUUUUCAUUAAUCAAGAACGAAAGUUAGGGGAUCGAAGACGAUCAGAUACCGUCGUAGUCUUAACCAUAAACUAUAGCCGACUAGGGAUCGGAUGAUGUUUAAAUUUUUUAAUGUACUCUAUUCGGCGC
rnacentral:rRNA from 1 species